UUUUUUUUUUUUUUUUUCCUUUUUUGCCCCAGGCUUCCUAGGAACCUAAAAGCAUCCUGGCUGUCACUCUCUCCCCAGAGUGACUGUGUGGGAGGAGAAUCUGGUCAGCUCCCCAUCACUCAGCCCUUUGAUGACUUACCAUUUGCCCUUUGUUUGAGAGAGGCCAAAUGAGUUAACCUGGCCUAUAAGGCCGUGCUGACCUGGCUCUGCUUCCUCCCAGAGGUGCCUCGGAUUUUCCUGUGUAGAAGGCAGGGCACUGGUCUCCAAGCCAUACAUGCUUUUACAGUGGCAUGAAAGCUUACAACACUUUGCCCAAGACUGAGACAGCCUCCGUUGUCCGUUCCAAACAAUGGAGGUGGUGGGACCAACACAUAGAAGGCACCCACCGGCUUCUCUGACUUCAGGCUUCACCGUGUGUGGAACUUGGCAUGGCACUUGCUCCAGUGACUGACUGAUGAGGGAGAUUUCGUGCUGCGUUGGUGCUCACCCCUGGGUCUUCGUCUGUGCUGUUCCCCCGUGCCUGGAAUCCUUGACCUUUCUUAGCCUGGGUAAUUUCUACUCGUCCUUCGGAUUGUAACUUGAACGGCCCCCGCUCCCACAGCCUUCGUUGCUUCCGUCCCUUUGUCUAUCCUCAUUACAAUCGCCGGCUUAAAGGUCCGUCUCCUUCACUAGACUGGAGGAAUGUUGUGUCCCCGGGCCCGCAGCCCAAUUCUGCGCUCCUGGCACAGGGCAGAAAUCAAUGCAUGUCUGCAAAAGGACUCACCGAAUGACGGAAUAAAUGAAUGAAUUUAACAGUGGCCCAAAAGAAACAGUGACGGACUCUACCCGCAGGUGGAGGCAGUUGAACAGGCAGAGCAGAGUGGGAAGAGCCCACAGCUGGGACAAAGAAACAGCUUGGGAGGCCGGUACAGGUUCACUCCUGCCCAGAGGUUCUCGCCCGCGUUGCUGCCUGUGAAGACACAGCAAGAAGUGAGCUGUUGGUGAACCAGAAAGAGGGCUCCCACCAGACAUCAAAUCUGCCGGUGCCUUGAUCUGAAACUUUCCAGCCAGCCUUCAGAACUGAAACGUGCACCAGGCCUGACAGAACAAAGGCCAAGUGGCUUCUGGAGGUUCAGCGAUCCUUCUCAGCUUACCUGUGAG